rnacentral:lncRNA from 1 species
GCCUUUCUUGGUUUCAAAGAGAUUCAACUCAAAGCUAAAAAGCUGUACAGUCCGUAGUAAAAUCACUUGCCUGACUGCUGCCUUUGUGAGGAAAGAAGAGAGAGAAGAAAGCAGAAAGAGUAGGCAUGUUCCCUGAAGAUUGUGUUUUGCCAGUUGCAAGUUACUCAAAGGACAGUUUGAAGGACAUUAACUGAUGAGCUGAAGAUCUUGCUGCGCUUCUUAAGGGGGGAAAUCACUGAUGUGCAGCCCUGCCCACAUCCACAGCUCCCCUGUCUGGUUUGGGAAGGGAUCUUGGCAGAGCUUCUGACAUGGGAUAAGCAUCACAGGGCAGAGGACAAGGAACAUGCUGUUCCUUCAAGGAAGAGG